rnacentral:rRNA from 1 species
UUAAGUUAUUAAGGGCGCACGGUGGAUGCCUUGGCACUAGAAGCCGAUGAAGGACGUUACUAACGACGAUAUGCUUUGGGGAGCUGUAAGUAAGCUUUGAUCCAGAGAUUUCCGAAUGGGGAAACCCAGCAUGAGUUAUGUCAUGUUAUCGAUAUGUGAAUACAUAGCAUAUCAGAAGGCACACCCGGAGAACUGAAACAUCUUAGUACCCGGAGGAAGAGAAAGAAAAUUCGAUUCCCUUAGUAGCGGCGAGCGAAACGGGAAGAGCCCAAACCAACAAGCUUGCUUGUUGGGGUUGUAGGACACUCUAUACGGAGUUACAAAGGACGACAUUAGACGAAUCAUCUGGAAAGAUGAAUCAAAGAAGGUAAUAAUCCUGUAGUCGAAAAUGUUGUCUCUCUUGAGUGGAUCCUGAGUACGACGGAGCACGUGAAAUUCCGUCGGAAUCUGGGAGGACCAUCUCCUAAGGCUAAAUACUCUCUAGUGACCGAUAGUGAACCAGUACCGUGAGGGAAAGGUGAAAAGCACCCCGGAAGGGGAGUGAAAUAGAACCUGAAACCGUGUGCUUACAAGUAGUCAGAGCCCGUUAAUGGGUGAUGGCGUGCCUUUUGUAGAAUGAACCGGCGAGUUACGAUUUGAUGCAAGGUUAAGCAGUAAAUGUGGAGCCGUAGCGAAAGCGAGUCUGAAUAGGGCGUUUAGUAUUUGGUCGUAGACCCGAAACCAGGUGAUCUACCCUUGGUCAGGUUGAAGUUCAGGUAACACUGAAUGGAGGACCGAACCGACUUACGUUGAAAAGUGAGCGGAUGAACUGAGGGUAGCGGAGAAAUUCCAAUCGAACCUGGAGAUAGCUGGUUCUCUCCGAAAUAGCUUUAGGGCUAGCCUCAAGUGAUGAUUAUUGGAGGUAGAGCACUGUUUGGACGAGGGGCCCCUCUCGGGUUACCGAAUUCAGACAAACUCCGAAUGCCAAUUAAUUUAACUUGGGAGUCAGAACAUGGGUGAUAAGGUCCGUGUUCGAAAGGGAAACAGCCCAGACCACCAGCUAAGGUCCCAAAAUAUAUGUUAAGUGGAAAAGGAUGUGGCGUUGCCCAGACAACUAGGAUGUUGGCUUAGAAGCAGCCAUCAUUUAAAGAGUGCGUAAUAGCUCACUAGUCGAGUGACACUGCGCCGAAAAUGUACCGGGGCUAAACAUAUUACCGAAGCUGUGGAUUGUCCUUUGGACAAUGGUAGGAGAGCGUUCUAAGGGCGUUGAAGCAUGAUCGUAAGGACAUGUGGAGCGCUUAGAAGUGAGAAUGCCGGUGUGAGUAGCGAAAGACGGGUGAGAAUCCCGUCCACCGAUUGACUAAGGUUUCCAGAGGAAGGCUCGUCCGCUCUGGGUUAGUCGGGUCCUAAGCUGAGGCCGACAGGCGUAGGCGAUGGAUAACAGGUUGAUAUUCCUGUACCACCUAUAAUCGUUUUAAUCGAUGGGGGGACGCAGUAGGAUAGGCGAAGCGUGCGAUUGGAUUGCACGUCUAAGCAGUAAGGCUGAGUAUUAGGCAAAUCCGGUACUCGUUAAGGCUGAGCUGUGAUGGGGAGAAGACAUUGUGUCUUCGAGUCGUUGAUUUCACACUGCCGAGAAAAGCCUCUAGAUAGAAAAUAGGUGCCCGUACCGCAAACCGACACAGGUAGUCAAGAUGAGAAUUCUAAGGUAAGCGAGCGAACUCUCGUUAAGGAACUCGGCAAAAUGACCCCGUAACUUCGGGAGAAGGGGUGCUCUUUAGGGUUAACGCCCAGAAGAGCCGCAGUGAAUAGGCCCAAGCGACUGUUUAUCAAAAACACAGGUCUCUGCUAAACCGUAAGGUGAUGUAUAGGGGCUGACGCCUGCCCGGUGCUGGAAGGUUAAGAGGAGUGGUUAGCUUCUGCGAAGCUACGAAUCGAAGCCCCAGUAAACGGCGGCCGUAACUAUAACGGUCCUAAGGUAGCGAAAUUCCUUGUCGGGUAAGUUCCGACCCGCACGAAAGGCGUAACGAUUUGGGCACUGUCUCAACGAGAGACUCGGUGAAAUCAUAGUACCUGUGAAGAUGCAGGUUACCCGCGACAGGACGGAAAGACCCCGUGGAGCUUUACUGUAGCCUGAUAUUGAAAUUCGGCACAGCUUGUACAGGAUAGGUAGGAGCCUUUGAAACGUGAGCGCUAGCUUACGUGGAGGCGCUGGUGGGAUACUACCCUAGCUGUGUUGGCUUUCUAACCCGCACCACUUAUCGUGGUGGGAGACAGUGUCAGGCGGGCAGUUUGACUGGGGCGGUCGCCUCCUAAAAGGUAACGGAGGCGCUCAAAGGUUCCCUCAGAAUGGUUGGAAAUCAUUCAUAGAGUGUAAAGGCAUAAGGGAGCUUGACUGCGAGACCUACAAGUCGAGCAGGGUCGAAAGACGGACUUAGUGAUCCGGUGGUUCCGCAUGGAAGGGCCAUCGCUCAACGGAUAAAAGCUACCCCGGGGAUAACAGGCUUAUCUCCCCCAAGAGUUCACAUCGACGGGGAGGUUUGGCACCUCGAUGUCGGCUCAUCGCAUCCUGGGGCUGUAGUCGGUCCCAAGGGUUGGGCUGUUCGCCCAUUAAAGCGGUACGCGAGCUGGGUUCAGAACGUCGUGAGACAGUUCGGUCCCUAUCCGUCGUGGGCGUAGGAAAUUUGAGAGGAGCUGUCCUUAGUACGAGAGGACCGGGAUGGACAUACCUCUGGUGUACCAGUUGUCGUGCCAACGGCAUAGCUGGGUAGCUAUGUGUGGACGGGAUAAGUGCUGAAAGCAUCUAAGCAUGAAGCCCCCCUCAAGAUGAGAUUUCCCAACUUCGGUUAUAAGAUCCCUCAAAGAUGAUGAGGUUAAUAGGUUCGAGGUGGAAGCAUGGUGACAUGUGGAGCUGACGAAUACUAAUCGAUCGAAGACUUAAUCAA